GGAGAGAUGGCUGAGUGGUCGAAAGCGCCCGCCUGCUAAGUGGGUAAGUGACGCAAGUCGCUUCUCGGGUUCGAAUCCCGAUCUCUCCGCCA
rnacentral:tRNA from 1 species